rnacentral:precursor_RNA from 12 species
UACAAGGCGAGUGAGCAUGGUUCUGCACAGGCUCGAACUCAAGUCUGAACGAUAAAUUUAAUUUGUUCAAACUUUUGUCCGAGUCUAUGCGGAAUCACAGAUCAUCCAUUGGUCGA